rnacentral:lncRNA from 1 species
AUUAUGGUUCCUCCUGAGCCCAAGGGAACUACAAAGGUCUGUAUCAGGACACUGGGCAUUGCCACUGUGCUAGGUGCACACACCUGACUGAUCGUCUUGUGGGCUCCCGCAUUUCCUGUUGCUCCAGGCAUCAGAUAUAUCCCUGGGAUCCCUCCAUUAGCUUGGCAAUGCUAUGGAAGUUGCCAGAAAAAGAAUCCUAAGGAAUUGGUUCUUGGCAAAUCCUAAGGAAUUUGGCUCAGGCAUUUGUCUUCCUAAUGAACUGGUGGGGAGGUAGCUGUGUUGGUACAUCAUCUCCAAGGCAGGAUCCUGCCCUCUGAAGCUUGAG